rnacentral:miRNA from 1 species
CCUCGGAGCGCCCUCGCCAGACACCCCUGCCGGGGAUGGACACUGAGGGCAGGCUGGCUCCA